UCUCCGUUGGUGAACCAGCGGAGGGAUCAUUACAGAGAACAGACGCCGCGCCGGUCCUCCGGGGCCGUCGCGUCUAUGUCCUGCACACUUGUUGUAUUACCGCCUGCCGGGCCGUGUUGCCUCGGCGGGGUGCGCCCUCCGUCCGCGGGGAUGGGGGCAGCCUGCCGGUGGACCUCACCAAAACUCUUGUUGUUAUAUUGUCAUUCUGAAUUUAAAAACUUAAUCAGUUAAAACUUUCAACAACGGAUCUCUUGGUUCUGGCAUCGAUGAAGAACGCAGC
rnacentral:misc_RNA from 1 species